rnacentral:rRNA from 1 species
GAUGAACGCUGGCGGCGUGCCUAAUACAUGCAAGUCGAACGGACGGACGAGAAUCUUGCUGCACUGAUGUUAGCGGCGGACGGGUGAGUCACACGUGGAUAACCUACCUAUAAGACUUGGAUAACUUCGGGAAGCCGUAGCUCCUACCAGAUAAUAUUUUGAACCGCAUGGUUCAAGAGUGAAAGACGGUCUUGCUGUCACUUAUAGAUGGAUCCGCUCGUCAUUGGCUGGUUGGUAAGGUAACGGCUUACCAAGGCAACGAUGCAUAGCCGAGCUGAGAGGGGGAUCGGCCACACUGGAACUGAGACGCGGUACUGACUCCGACGGGAGGCAGCAGUAGGGACUCUUCCGCAAUGGGCGAAAGCCUGACGGAGCAACGCCGCGUGAGUGAUGAAGGUCUUCGGAUCGGAAAACGCUGUUAGUAGGGAAGAACAUAUGUGUAAGUAACUGUGCACAUCUUGACGGUACCGAAUCAGAAAGCCACGGCUAACUACGUG